GACGAACGCUGGCGGCGUGCCUAAUACAUGCAAGUAGGACGCAGUUGCGAACGGGUGAGUAACGCGUAGGUAACUGCCUAUUAGAGGGGGAUAACUAUUGGAAACGAUAGCUAAUACCGCAUACUAGUAGAUGGACCUGCGUUGUAUUAGCUAGUAGGUAGGGUAAUGGCAUACCUAGGCGACGAUACAUAGCCGACCUGAGGAGGGGAUCGGGCACACUGGGACUGAGACACGGCCCAGACUCCUACGGGAGGCAGCAGGAGGGAAUCCGCGGCAAUGGGGGGAACCCUGACCCAGCAACGCCGCGGGAGUGAAGAAGGUUUUCGGAUCGGAAAGCUUUGUUGUUAAAGAAGCGGUACUUAACCAGAAAGGGACGGCUAACUACGUGCCAGCAGCCGCGGUAAUAC
rnacentral:rRNA from 1 species